AUUACAGAGGUGACAGAAUUCGUACCUCCCAGACACUAAAUCUUGGGAGAUACAGGGAGAAAAUUUUGAGUCAUAUAACACUCUGAAGAGACAAAACAGCCCUGAAACUUCAAUGCACAAGGGACAGAAUAAUACCAGCAGUUCUAAGACAUUCAGGCAGGUAGGGCAGGGAGGAAGCAGGCAGGAAGGAUGAAGGAAAGGCUUACCAAAUAGUGGGAGCAGUCCCAGCACCUCCCGCCCUAGAGGCAGGAGUCCAGCAGCCUGCCUAGCAGCAGCACUGUUUCUUGCAGCAGCACUUCUGCUGGCAGCCACACUUCUGCUGGCAGCAGCCCUUCACGCAGCCACAGGAGCCACAGCCACAGGAGUGGUGGCAGCAGACGACCACGGGGGUGCUGCAGCAGCCCCCACAGCAGCCGCAGCAGCAGGGGCAGCAGGAAGAGCAGCAGCCCACCCGGUAGCAUCUGCAGGUGGUGCAGCUGCCACAGCCACCACAGCCACCACCACAGCCACCACCGCAACUGCCACUGCAGCCACCACUGCAACCACCACAGCUUCCACAGCCACAGCAACCCAUGGUGUCAGUAGAGAGGACUCAGUCCUCCCUGGUUUGCAAGUCUUAAGGAUGAUAUGAGAACUGGUGCCCAGGCUAAGUUUAAUCCAUAUCUCCUGCUUUCUGAGAUCCAGCCCCCAAAUGAAAAACACCACUGGAAGCCUUCUUCAACCAUCACCAAAGUAUGAGCCUGGCAGAACAAAAUGAUGAUUUUCAAUGCUAUGCUUUCUUGAAUUUGUGCUGUUGAAAUGUUUUUCUAUUUCUUCUUCCCUCUUUCUGUAUCCUAUGUCUGCUGUAUUUUGUCUUUGUAACCCAAGGCAAUUCUUUCCCUAAUAAACCAUAACAAAUUGGUGCCGAAGAUCAUUAAAUCUCUUGCCUCAU
rnacentral:lncRNA from 1 species